UGAAUACGAGACGCUAAGGCGUCGAAGUAGUGUAUGUCAUACUUCCAAGAAAAGCUUGCACUGUCAUAGAUAAAAAACGCCUGUACCAUAACCGACACAGGUGGGUAGGUAGAGUAUACUAAGGGGCGCGAGAUAACUCUCUCUAAGGAACUCGGCAAAAUAACUCCGUAACUUCGGGAGAAGGAGUGCCUUAUUCGUAAGGUUGCAAUAACAAGAUCCAAGCAACUGUUUAUCAAAAACACAGGUCUCCGCUAAGUCGUAAGACGAUGUAUGGGGGCUGACGCCUGCCCAGUGCCAGAAGGUUAAAGAAGUUGGUUAGCAAUUGCGAAGCUGAUAACUGAAGCCCUGGUGAACGGCGGCCGUAACGAUAACGGUCCUAAGGUAGCGAAAUUCCUUGUCGGGUAAGUUCCGACCCGCACGAAAGGCGUAAUGAUUUGGAUACUGUCUCGGAGAGGGGCUCGGUGAAAUAGACUUGUCUGUGAAGAUGCGGACUACCUGCACCAGGACAGAAAGACCCUAUGAAGCUUUACUGUAACUUGAAAUUGAAAUUGGACUUUAUUCGCGCAGCAUAGGUGGGAGGCGUUGAUUAUAAUCUUGCGGGAUUAUUGGAGCCAUCAGUGAGAUACCACUCUUGUAAUGUUAGAUUUCUAACUUUGAAUCUUUAUCUGGUCAAAGAACAGUUUCAGGCGGGCAGUUUGACUGGGGCGGUCGCCUCCUAAACGGUAACGGAGGCGUACAAAGGUUUCCUCUGAACGGUUAGAAAUCGUAUCUAGAGUGUAAAGGCAUAAGGAAGCUUGACUGUGAGACCUACAAGUCGAGCAGGGACGAAAGUCGGUCUUAGUGAUCUGACGGUACUGAGUGGAAAGGCCGUCACUCAACGGAUAAAAGUUACUCUAGGAUAACAGGCUGAUCUCCCCCAAGAGUUCACAUCGACGGGGAGGUUUGGCACCUUGAUGUCGGCUCAUCGCAUCCUGGGGCGGUAGUACGUCCCAAGGGUUGGGCUGUUCGCCCAUGAAAGCGGUACGCGAGCUGGGUUCAGAACGUCGUGAGACAGUUCGGUCCAUAUCCGGUGUAGGCGUUGGAAUAUUGAGAGGAGCCUUCUUUAGUAUGAGAGGACCGAGAAGGACAUACCUCUGGUGUACCAGUUAUCGUGCCAACGGUAAACGCUGGGUAGCUAUGUAUGGAGUGGAUAACCGCUGAAAGCAUCUAAGUGGGAAGCCCACCUCAAGAUAAGUAUUCUCC
rnacentral:rRNA from 1 species